UACGUAGGGCGCAAGCGUUGUCCGGAAUUAUUGGGCGUAAAGAGCUCGUAGGCGGUUUGUCGCGUCUGCUGUGAAAUCCCGAGGCUCAACCUCGGGCUUGCAGUGGGUACGGGCAGACUAGAGUGCGGUAGGGGAGACUGGAAUCCCUGGUGUAGCGGUGGAAUGCGCAGAUAUCAGGAGGAACACCGAUGGCGCAGGCAGGUCACUGGGCCGCAACUGACGCUGAGGAGCGAAAGCAUGGGGAGCGAACAGG
rnacentral:rRNA from 1 species